rnacentral:rRNA from 1 species
GAGUUACUAGUAAUCGCAGAUCAGAAUGCUGCGGUGAAUGCGUUCCCGGGUCUUGUACACACCGCCCGUCACACCACGGAAGUUGGGGCGCCCGAAGCCACUUAGCUAACCCUUUUGGGAAGCGAGUGUCGAAGGUGAAAUCAAUAACUGGGGUGAAGUCGUAACAAGGUAUC